GCCUACGACCAUAUCACCCAGAAUGCGCACGAUCUCGUCUGAUCUCGGAAGCUAAGCAGGGUCGAGCUUGGAUAGUACUUGGAUGGGAGACUGCCUGGGAAUACCAGGUGUUGUAGGCA
rnacentral:rRNA from 1 species